GGAAGUAAAAGUUGUAACAAGGUUUCCGUAGGUGAACCUGCGGAGGGAUCAUUACAGAGUUCGUGCCCUCACGGGUAGAUCUCCCACCCUGUGUUAUUAUACCUUUGUUGCUUUGGCGGGCCGCCCUCGGCUACCGGCCCCGGCUGGUACGCGCCCGCCAGAGGACCCCAAACUCUGAAUGUUAGUGUCGUCUGAGUACUAUACAAUAGUUAAAACUUUCAACAACGGAUCUCUUGGUUCUG
rnacentral:misc_RNA from 1 species